rnacentral:lncRNA from 1 species
CACGUUGUCACCUCUCACUAACACCAGAAGAGGUGGAGAUGGUCCAUAUUUACAACAUUUGUUGCAGACAAUGAGACAAAUUUAGUCCAUACUCCACAAAUUGCCAGAAGUAAUGUUAUUUGACCCAACAGGAGGGAGAAAGCGGAAUUUGUGUGGAGAGUAAGAUGCUGAUGUUUGGAUGUGCAGAGAAGAGUUUCCAUAUAGCAGGAAAAGCCCUUUUUCCUUUCUCUCCAGCUUGUAAGGAAGAGUCUAGAUAUUCCCACAUAGCACUAAGUUCUUCUAAGGGACAAUACUGGAAAAAGAAGAAAUCACAAGCUGGGUAAAAAGAUAUACCAGAGUUUAGUUUUGAGAAGGGAUGCAGUGCUUGAGAGAAGAAGCUAUCAUCCACAUGAACCAUGAGGUAAAGAGACAGAGAUUGGAUGGAGGAAUUUAAAAUAUAAUUCCUUUUUAUUAGUAAUAUUCUUUCUGUCCUUUGGUAUUUAUUAAAAUAUUGAGUAGAUUAUAACUGAUUAGAUGAGAUUAAAG